AUUGAACGCUGGCGGCAGGCCUAACACAUGCAAGUCGAACGAGUGGCGGACGGGUGAGUAAUGUCUGGGAAACUGCCUGAUGGAGGGGGAUAACUACUGGAAACGGUAGCUAAUACCGCAUACCAUCGGAUGUGCCCAGAUGGGAUUAGCUAGUAGGUGGGGUAAAGGCUCACCUAGGCGACGAUCCCUAGCUGGUCGGAGAGGAUGACCAGCCAGACGGGAACUGAGACACGGUCCAGACUCCUACGGGAGGCAGCAGUGGGGAAUAUUGCAGAAUGGGAGCAAGCCUGAUGCAGACAGGCCGCGUGUAGGAAGAAGGCCUUCGGGUUGUAAAGUACUGUCAGCGGGGAGGCGUGACCCGCAGAAGAAGCACCGGCUAACUCCGUGCCAGCAGCCGCGGUAAUAC
rnacentral:rRNA from 1 species